GACGAACGCUGGCGGCGUGCUUAACACAUGCAAGUCGAACGCGCUUGGCCUUUUUCUGGGGUUGGGUGAGUGGCGAACGGGUGAGUAACACGUGGGUGACCUGCCUUGAGCUCUGGGAUAAGCCUGGGAAACUGGGUCUAAUACUGGAUAUGACCAAUUCUUGCAUGGGGGUUGGUGGAAAGUUUUGUUCUUUGUUGGACAUUUCGGCUCGAGAUGGGCCCGCGGCCUAUCAGCUUGUUGGUGGGUGAUGGCUUACCAAGGCGA
rnacentral:rRNA from 1 species